rnacentral:rRNA from 1 species
AACGAACGCUGGCGGCGUGGCUAAGACAUGCAAGUCGAACGGACUAUUCUACAGAGUAAUCUAAGGAAUAGUUAGUGGCGAAAGGGUUAGUAACGGAUAGGUAACUUACCUCCUGCUUCGGGAUAGCGUCAGUAGCUUCGGCUACUUUCCGAAAGGGGCAUUAAUACCGAAUAAUAUCAUGAAUCGACAGGUUUAUGAUCAAAGAUUUAUCGGCCGGAGAACGGCCUAUCUCCUAUCAGCUAGUUGGUGUGGUAAUGGCUCACCAAGGCUUUGACGGGUAGCGGGACUGAGAGGUUGACCCGCAACAUCGGGACUGAGACACUGCCCGGACCUCCACGGAGGGCUGCAGUAACGAAUAUUGCGCAAUGGGCGAAAGCCUGACGCAGCGACGCCGCGUGUAGGAUGAAGUCCCUCGGGAUGUAAACUACUGUCAGGGUAAAGAAAGUCUGUUUCGGCAGAUUGAUCUACCCCAGAGGAAGUCACGGCUAACUUCGUGCCAGCAGCCGCGGUAAGACGAAGGUGGCUAGCGUUGUUCGGUAUUACUGGGCUUAAAGCGUGUGUAGGCGGAAUAGUAAGCGUCUUGUGAAAUCCCUCGGCUUAACCGAGGAAUUGCUUGGCGAACUACUAU